rnacentral:rRNA from 1 species
CAGCCGCCGCGGGGAAUACGGAGGGUGCAAGCGUUAAUCGGAAUUACUGGGCGUAAAGCGCACGCAGGCGGUCUGACAAGUCAGAUGUGAAAUCCCCGGGCUUAACCUGGGAACUGCAUUUGAAACUGUCAGGCUGGAGUCUUGUAGAGGGGGGUGGAAUUCCAGGUGUAGCGGUGAAAUGCGUAGAGAUCUGGAGGAAUACCGGUGGCGAAGGCGGCCCCCUGGACAAAGACUGACGCUCAGGUGCGAAAGCGUGGGGAGCAAACAGGAUUAGAUACCCGCGUAGUCCCUGUCUCUUAUU